CUUUUCCCUCCUCCCUAGCCCAGCCAGGAGCAUGGCAACAAGCAGCAUGGCAACUCGUAGCUAUAAUAUGACGUGUGUGUGUGUGUGUGUGUGUGUGUGUGUGUUUUCUUGUGUUAUGAAAGGAGGGCUUUACAACACACAAUGAAAUAGAAGAUUAUUCCCUGCAACCCUGCUCUCUAGAGACCCCUAGUGGCCACCAUGGGAGUACUAAUGAUGUGCUUCAAAGUGUUUCCACCUUUCUCCACUGCAGGAAGGAAGUUUUUACCGGACGAGAAGAGAAUCAGCUGCACCUGCAUAUACCCGUGUUGGAAGAGUGGAUUCUACCUGGUGGCUCCAGAAGGACGGAAUCCCUGCCAGCGCUGGACCUGGCUUUUUCCAUUUUUAUCUCGCAUCAAGAUUUUUGCAGCUUUGUUUCUUGGGGCCCUGGCUGAUUUGCAUAUUUGCCUUCCAGCUGGUCUGACCUAAGGAAUGCUUAGGGCUGCUUUUGUCUGUGCAUGGGGUAGGUGUUCAGCAACAGGUAAGAGAAGAGCUGUCCUGGAAGAAAAGAAUCAGGAACUCAAAAUGAAGAAAACCAGAGGUAAGAGGUGGAAGGAUACUGGCUUGGCAGGAUGUAGGUGGAAAUACUUUCCUAUUCUCUGAAGAACUGCCUGAUACAUAACUAACUUUACAUUCUACCUCUGUCCCUAAGUGCUUCCUACUGGGCCCUGCCCCAAACCCAGGCCAGCCUGUCCCUCCCACUUGCCAGGGAAAAUGUCUGGAGACAGUUCAGCCUUUGAUGUAACUAACCCUACACUCUAACCCUGAGUCCCUCCUUCCCUCCUUUGUUCCUACUCUCCCUCCUUCCUUCCCUCCCUCCUCCUUUCCCUCACUCAUCCUUCCUUCCCUUCCUCCCAUCUCCUUCCCUCCUUGGUUUUGUAUUGAAGCUUUGACCUAUUUUCUUUUCAACCUGGGCUGAUUUGCCUGGCACCCCACAUUCCCAAGGGCUCAACAUAAUGAUGCUAAACUUGGGCAAGAUACCCAGUUGGUUUUAGCUGUACUGUAGCUCAGAACUAAAGCAAUCCACCAGCCUUAGCUUCCCUCACACUGUUUGUUGGUAUGAUUUUUACCCUCAGUUCUUUCUAUUUUGCUUUACCUAGAGAUAGGUAUGCAUGUCCUUUUCUUGAUGUAAUUGGCAUUCAAUCUUUAUUCUCUCUCCUUAGCUUUUGGCACACCUGCCUUUCUCUUUUUCCCCUGUCUGCCCGAGCAAGGCAUAGGAAGACAUCUGAGGGUUAAAAGCUGUGUUCACUUUAUGACUUUAUUAUUUCAGGAGAAUUGGUUAUCACCUGACAGAAGUGAUCUCAAAGCCUGGAGUAGAUGAAACGAUCAAGAAUGAAAUCAUCCCACCCAGCCUGACAGCUGGUGACUAACUGAAAAGGGAGAGGGGCGGUAAUGCCUCCUCAGUAAUAUCACACCAUGUGACAAACAAAGUAAAAAUGCUCACUGACAAAGUGCCUGUAAACUAAUGAGCUAUUGGGAAGAGGGCAUCACUUUUGUAAAAGCAGCAGUAUGAUGUUACAUCAGGCAGAUGGGGGAAAGCAGGGGAGAUCAGACAGGAAGGCUUUUACACAAUACAAAGCCAAACCCAUAAGCUUGGGAAAACAGGAUAUCCAUGUAAGUAAAGAAAAAAAGAAAAUGAAUACAUCGAAUAUUCAUCCUUCCUGUUGGUUAAGGCCAAAUGAAAUAAAUAGUUAUCCAGAGCCAAGCAUGGUAUCCUGGAUGUAGUAUGCCCUUAAUAAAUGUUUGUUGAAUUUAAUUGUUUUUUACUUAGGAUUCAGGGCUGUAUGGGAAUACUGUUGUAUUUUAAUUACCCUGUUAAUUAUUUACCCUACUGUUUCCUUUAUUAGGAUAUAUAUGUAUGUGUAUACACAAACACACAUGUAUUUAAAUUUGGGGCAACAAAUGGAAUAUUAUUGACGUCUAUGAUUUAGUCCAGUUAAAAUUCCAGACAUUUUCUGGUCCCCAAAAAAACAGAAUUAUAGAAUUUUAUAGCUGGAAGGAUAGAGUCUGGUCCUGGAAUUUCAUUAGAAUAGGAAAACUCUCAGGUAAGGAAACUCUUCUGGUGUAAGUUUAUACCUUCUCUAUAUCAUUACAUAGACUUAGCUGUGAUAGAGCACUGACUUGCCUAGUGUCUCAUAUCCUGUGUGGGUCAGAGUUAAGGCUUGAACUGAGGUCUUCCAAGUGUCAGCUCUAUUCACCACACCCAGCUGCCUGUCUAUUACAGCUGAAAAGGACCUCAGAAAUCAAUCCAACUCCUUUAUUUUCAAGAAAGGUAAAGGAAAGAAACAAGCAUUUAUUAAAUGCCUACUGUGUGCCAGGCAUUACAAAGUAUUUUAUCUAACUUUAAUCUCACAACAACAGUAUAGAUAGGUGCUAUAUUAUCAUCCUGAAUUUACAGAUGAGGAAACUGAGGCAGGCAAGUUAAAUGGCUUGUCCAGGUUCACACAGCCAGUGUGA